ACUGAUGCAGCACAAGAGACACG
rnacentral:piRNA from 1 species